UUUUUUUUUUUUCUUCCCCUUGUUGGUUUUUUAAUGGGUCAGAGAGUAUACCUUAGGAAGCUAAGGAGCUAUAAGUACAACCGAGUCAUCUGCUGGGAGAAUGUGAAAGAGCAAAUGGAUCUAUUAAAAAGCACGGUUAGGCAAAAGAAAACAAAAAGAAAAGUGACAAUUAUUACUAUUCAUGAAAAUACAAGCAAAACUACUUUAAUAGUUCUCCAAUAUUACUUGCAGGGGAGGGGGACCAUAAGUCAUGCUCAUCAUGUGGGCACAUUAAGACCUUCUCUUUUCUGUUGACUACCAGUGUGGGGAAUAAACCUGAGACAGGAAAUAGCCUACCCUCUGUCCCCUUCAAUUUUACAAAUGAAAGCAACUUGGGCAAAAGACUCAACAGAAUUAGAAAUAUAUCUUAAACAUGGGUUAGGGAUUCUUUUAAUAGAUUGGUAUCUGUAAACUUCCUGAAAACAAAAUACAAAACUAAAGGCUCUGGUUUAAACUUUAUGGUAAUUUCUGUGUGGUUGAUAACAUAAUUUCUUGCUCAAAAAUGAGAGAGGCGUUGUCAGAAAACAUGAUCCUUUCAAACACUUUAAAAUCCUGUGUGAAUCACAUAUUUAAUGAGUAACUCACCGCCCUUUAGUGAAUAUGCAAAACCGGCCACAAUUUGCAUAUAUUGACUUGUUUAAAUUCAGAUUUUAUAUAUAUAUAAUCUGUAGCAAAUCUUCUUUCAAUAUGAACUAUACUUAAAUUUAGGACAAAAUAAUAACUUCCAAUUCCUCUUCGGAGUUCCCUUGUUUUUGGUAAAUUAGCCUUCCUAAGUUUUUCAUGUGUUUUCCGUGUAAAAAUUGUUAGUUUUAUUGAUAAUGACAUCCGCCAACACACAGAAGCACAGAGUGGUCUGUCAGUGCUGCCGCUGGGGAGGUCCUUAAUUAUGUGAGCGUGACACAAACAGCCGCUUUCUAUAGAAGAGUGUCUCCAUCAAGAUUAGUCUCUGAUACUUGAGAGUAAUUGUAUGUCUUUGAGUUUCCUCUUUUUAUACCUAGUUCUGACAGCUGUUCUAUAAAGUCUCCAAGUUUUUAGGAAAUAAUAAAAAUUGAAAAAAGAAAGAACGGACCAUUAAAAUUUCUUACAGUAUUUAAGUGUUUGAAUUGUUCAGGGGGUAAGUUUGAAGGGAUAAAGUUUAUCUUAUUAAUCUUUACUAAACUAAGGUUAUAAAUCUGAUUGCUUUCGCUGACUAAAGCCAGAAUGUCUCCCAUUAGAAGUAUGCUAGAGAAAGUGGGCCUGUGAGCUGGUACUCUUUGGAACUGUAUUUAUUAUAGGUUCUAUGAGGUUGCAUAAAAGUAGCAGAAAGAAAAGAAACAGAAGGGCAGUAGCUGAUAGAUUUUUUACCCCUAUGACAAAAGAAAUCAAUCUAAUGUAAAGAAGAGACAUCAUGUAUUCCCAUUCCCCUACUUAGGCUUAAACACAGGAACAGAGAAAGUAAUAAGUCCCAGUUCCAUGAUAAAAGAGCUGGCCCUAAAGGAGUAAGAGUGGUUGUUACAUAUUAACUACAUUUUCUUACACUUUGUUCCACCUCUGCUUUUUUGUUUUGAGGGGAACAGUUAUAUGUGAAGUCUCAGAGUUGAAGGAGUGUGGCUUGUUUCUUGUAUAUAUUCUAUAAUCAUCUUGUACAUUCUGCAUGACAUAGGAAUUUUUUAAAACCUAGCAUUACACUAUUAUUACACAUUACAUAAACAUUGUCCAAAUGCCAUUCCUGAAAUAAUUAUAGAAUACAGUGCUAAGUGGUAUGUGGCUACUGUCGUCAGUGUCCCAGAGAAUGAAGUACUGACUUUGAUCCUCUCCUCCUUGGCCAUAUUAAAUAACCUAUGAUGGUGAACUCACGGAGGGCCACUUACCUAGCUGCAGCAAGAUAGGUCUGUUGUGUAGUUCAUGAGUGGAGAACUAGAUACGCAAUGGUCACGAGGGCAUUGCUGUAGACACUAAGUCCUCCACUGUGCCGUGCCAGCACCAGCCAACAAACAGUGUUAGAGAGUGAUGCCUUUCUCAACGGACUAUCAAAGACAGCAUUUAAGAGCAGCAUACCUAUAGCUUAUAGAACAUAAGCACAUAAAUAUUUUGAUUGUCUUAAAAAUUCUACUUUCCUGAAACAAGCCAUGUGAUUGCCUAUCUUUGGCCCAGUGGUGGUUUGCAGUAGCAAUUUAGCUGGUCUAUUUUGAACAAAUUCCAUGGAAUUAAUUGACUAUUGUAGACAAAGUUCUUUCUCUGUUUUCUCCUCCCUCUCCUCAAAAAAGCAGAUGUAUUUUCAGUUCUCAAUUGCUUCUCUUGGUGUCUGGGAUCUAAGUGGGACAUGAGAGAGCAGUUUAGUUUGUUGGUUCUUUCCAUUUGUCAUUAGGAUGAGAUUUUUUCCUCAGCUACUGUCAAACUGCAGCUUUACCUAAAAAUACACACUUGAAAUGCCAAAACUUCACAACAGAUCUAAGCAUAGAACCACAAAACAAUGCACCAACAAUAAGGAUAACAAUGUAUACAGCUACCUAAGUCCAGAGCGUUUCUUGCCACUUACUCAUUUGCUUCAGAGUCUGCUGUAUUGGCCUUCAUGUUCUUCAGACUAGCAGUAAGAUUUGUACCAAUAAUUUCAUAAUCUUGAGCUCUAACAGGAGGAAAUCCAUUGCUGUUUAGUAAAUGUCCUAAAAAGCUUACCAUGCAUAGGUGUAAAAAGAGAAUUCUAGAAUUCAGUUUACUAGCAAUCUUUUCCCUCCUACACAUGUACCCUACUGGAAUUCAGCAAGAGCAUGACUUUGUCUACCACUGUGGCCCUACUUUCACCCUACUUAUUUUUUCAUAUGACAAUCAAAGCAUAAUAAAGAUCAGAGCCGCUCGAUGAAAUAAGCUAGCUCUCUAUAGACUGUAAGGAAGGAGGAGCAGUCCUUCACUCAGCCAUUCUUGGCAUCCUUACCAUAGAUAGCUAAGAGUUGAAGAUGAAUAGCAAAUUCAGGAUCAUUCUUGGCUACAUAGCAAAUUAGGCCAAUCUGGACUACAUAAAACCCUCUUUAAAAAAAAAAAAAAAGGAAGGAAGGAAGGAAGGAAGAAAAAUGAGAAAGAGCG
rnacentral:lncRNA from 1 species